rnacentral:tRNA from 4 species
GCCCUGGUGGCGAAAUUGGUAGACGCAGCAGACUCAAAAUCUGCCGGCUUCAAACCCGUGCCGGUUCGAGUCCGGCCCAGGGCACCA